AGCUACUUUGUGCCAAAAAGCCAAAGGUUAGGUCUGUAUCCAGUCCAUCCAAAAAAAGGCCACUACUCAAUUGUUGGCCCUAGCUAUCUGGGAUCUUGGGAGGGGUGGAUUGGAUGUAGACCUAGCCUUUUAGCAUACUUUUUUUUUGGCACAAAGUGGCUGUUCUCAGGCUUGAACCCAUGUUCACACACUUGUCAGCCCAAAUUUGACCUUUAGACCAUCAAGCAAUGGCCCCUAUAGCAGAUCAAUAAGAUUUUAUUAAAGAAAGGAGUACAAGAGAUGGAAAGUCUCAGUUGCAGAGAACAAACAAAGCUAAUCACAGAAAGCUAACUAAUUGCCAAAAGGAAAAGAUAUACCCCCAAAAGGAAGGAGUACAAGAGAUAGAACUCAGCUGCAGAGAACAAACAAAGCUAGUCACAGAAAGCUAGCUAAUUGCCAAAAAGAAAACAUAUACCCCGAAAAAGUCAUUACAAAUUUCAUUGCACUAUUCCUGUGGCACAGACUCCCAAUAGAAAUCAACCCUAUCAACUCCCCUACUAGCGAGUCUGCUACAGUAUUCAAUGAUUUCUGGAUUGACGUAAAUGAGGGGUUCAUUUAGUUGAUUUUCACAAGCAGAUGGAUUAUAUUCUUUACAGUUUGUUUCAUUGGAAACUACAUGCUAAUUUAUAUUGCUCGUAUGCUUAUCCUAUUUUACAUAUUUCUUCAACAUUGCAUUUAAUUACAUUUAUCUAACCCAGAUGCGAUCAAUUUCAAAGAAGAGGGAAAUACACUUAACUGGGAGAAAUGCCAACGAGAGGUUUGACAAGGCUGGAUUGUGGCAAAUAAUUGCGAAUUGUAAUCAUCCCCAGGCAGAAGCUGUACGAUCAUUUACUUAUUUCCGUAUGAAUGAUAAAAUUUUCAGGGCUGAGAACUGGAAUAACUUCGUCCCUUUUGUGAGAAGAAUGAGCAGAGAUGAAUAGAAAAAAGAUCGUGAGCACACCUGUAAAUCCUUUUGAUUAAUAGAUCAGAUAUAUGGCAGAAGGGCACACUGUUCUGUUGAUGUUGAGAUUAUACAAGUUGGGGAAAAGGAAAGAGAAUAGUGGAGACAUUGCCAAAUUUUCAAAGGAAAGAAAAGAAAAAAAACCUUGUGAGGAAUCCUAGCAUAUGAACCCUAUCUGACACAAUUGCAAGCUCCUGCAAAGAUAUUGAAGAUGGCUAGACAUGAAGCUGGGCACUGAACCAUGCCUGAAGCCUUGAUAGUACUCAUGCUGCUUUUCCAGAAUGCAUAAAGGAAGCACCAUUAACAUCACAUCCCCUACUGACCUCCGGUUCCAGUUCUUCCAUCUGUUAUCCUUCCGUGCUCCUUUAAAUUUAAGUCAUCUGCACAAGAAGAGAAAAAGGAAAGAGUACGAGGAGCCAGAACAAUGCAUCUCUUUUUAAAUAAUUGAACAGUUCGAUUGCUGUCUAAUUUUGUCAACUUGGAACCAACCCAUAAAUUGGCUUCAUAUAUUGACCGAUUGGCUCCCAUUUCCUUCUGAAUUUGGCAGUGGUGGAAUAGUUACAUGUUUAAAGCGUGUAAACUUUCUUCCUUGCACGAGUUGUUUAAUUGUUUAUCUGAAGCAAUGAAGACGUGUUCGUUGGCUGUUGA